GUUCCUGCCCGGCCCCCCACCCAGAAAAAGAUGCGUGAACCGCCCCCAGCCCGCUGACCCGGGAGGAGGGCGGAUCGAUAGGAAGGCGCUUCCCUGCCGAGGCGCGGCGACGGCCGGGGCGGGCUGGGGCUCCUGCUCGGGCAGGUGGCGCGAGGCGUCCCCGGGGGCCUAGCUGACCAAGGCGGCAGUGGCCGCCACCUGCAGGGCGGCCUCCAGGCCGUGCAGCGCCAGGAGCGCGGUGCCCAGGGCCACGUCCGCCCUCAGCACCAGGGUCUGCCAGUAGCGGAAGUGGACGCCGAGCAGGACCGCGGCGGCCGUCAGGAGCAGGCUGGCAGCCAGCGGCGCCUCGGCCUCCAGCAGGUUGCCCUUGGCGCCUGGGGGGCGGACGGCGCAGCGUGAGCACCGCCCCAGCCCGGCUCUGCCCUCCGACCCCCGGGGCCAGGAGCCACGGGCAGCGCCGCCCCCGACACGCCCACGCCAAGAAUCACAGACGCGGCAAAGAGCAAGCAGCCCGCGCCUGCUCCUGGGGGUGAAACCCCCUGGCAACCAAGGUGCCUUAUGGUUUCACGGUCCACUCACCAAGGUAGAGCCGAAUCACCUCCAGAAGGCCCAUCGCCAACAGCAGAGCCAGGUCGAGGACCAAGGAUGCGGGCGGGUAGCUGAACGCCUGACCUGCGGAAACCGGGCAGCAGGGCAGAAACCGGGUCACGGCCAGCCACCGACGGACAGCACUUCCAUCGCUACCACCCCGGCACUUACUCUUGUAGACGAUCAGCAGCAGCGUGGCCAGGAAAUACAGGAUGUAAAAGGCCCCACUGAGACAGAACAGCAUCUGCAGCAGCACCGACGAGCGCUGGCCAGGGGUUAAGGACGCUGACCCCAAGGACGAGCCCUGCCCCUGGGGGCCCCUCCCCGGACCGGCUCCCGCGCUCAGGGAACAGCAUCCCCCGUGCUGUCACCCGCCGGCUCCCUGCACAUCCGGGGAGUCCUUGCCAAUCCUGCCCCUGGAUUGUGCCAUGAGUGGGCAGGGCUCCCACUGGGCAGGGGGCACCCAGACGGAGGUGUGACCAAAGCCCCCAACCCCCAGAGCUCUGAGCCACACUCCCGGGCGACUGCUGGCUGCUGCCUCGACAGGGUGCCCUAGGUGCUGCCAGGCCUGCCCCUGCCCCAGUUACAAGUUAGGGAGAAGAAAAGGACCUUUAUCGUUUUCUUUGGAAAAAAUGUAUUUAUCACUUUUGGGGGGCAAAUAUUUACUAGCAGCCCUCUGGAGCUGUCCGCUUGAUAUUUAGGUAUGCUGAAAUGAGACAGUCACUGUGAAACCAGGCUCCUCCUCCUGCCACCGUGGACGGAUGGUGGCCACAGGGACAGGGUGGAGCACUCCCCGUCUAGAGGCAGCUUAGCUAUCCGAUCUGAUCCUAACACCCUUCCCACUUCAGAGUGGGAAUUCCCAGGCAAAGCUUCUAGAAAUGGAGAGGGGGCCUGACUGUGGCUCAGGGCAUGGUCUGGGGGCCUGGGUCCCGCAGAGCAGAGGGGGACAGGGUGCAGCAGCAGGAUACCGUCGUGGGGGACGCUCUCCCUGAAAGAGAAAGCAUCCACAGUGAGGCUGGAAAUCCCACCAGGGGGCAGGGGCCCUUCCUGGCCAGGGCGGAUCCCAGCUCCCUUCUCCUUUUUGGCUCGCGUUUUCCGUGGGCCUGUCCGUUGGGCGCCUUGCCCAGCCCUCUGCACACACGCCUUUGAGGAGGACCCUGAGCCAGCAGAGCCUCGACUUUCCUAAGAGCACACGGGACGUCCGUGGAGAGGCCGGGCCGAAGCCUAGGUCCACUCCCAGGUGGGGAGGGACGGCGCAGUCACACCCGCCGGGACGUCAGCAGACAGCAGCUUCCUUAUCCUCUGGUUUCCGCACAUUUGCCACACAUCUGCCAUUAGAUGAAAUCUUUGUCUGGUUCGGGUUUUUAACAAAUCUUUUCCCAUAAUGGAUUGUGUACAUUUACUUUCCUCUGGAAUUUUAAUUACUCUAAAUAGAAAACAGAAUUUCUAAA